UGGGGAAUCUUGCGCAAUGGGGGCAACCCUGACGCAGCGAUGCCGCGUGCGGGACGAAGGCCUUCGGGUCGUAAACCGCUUUCAGCAGGGACGAGGCCUCACGGUGACGGUACCUGCAGAAGAAGCCCCGGCUAACUACGUGCCAGCAGCCGCGGUAAUACGUAGGGGGCGAGCGUUAUCCGGAUUCAUUGGGCGUAAAGCGCUCGUAGGCGGCCCGUUAGGUCGGGAGUCAAAUCCGGGGGCUCAACCCCCGCCCGCUCCCGAUACCGGCGGACUUGAGUCUGGCAGGGGAAGGUGGAAUUCCCGGUGUAGCGGUGGAAUGCGCAGAUAUCGGGAAGAACACCGGUGGCGAAGGCGGCCUUCUGGGCCACGACUGACGCUGAGGAGCGAAAGCUGGGGGAGCGAACAGGAUUAGAUACCCUGGUAGU
rnacentral:rRNA from 1 species